rnacentral:lncRNA from 1 species
UAGUCUAUGGCAAGUGGGACCCCCUCUCCUUGAUUAAAGUGGUUAGGUGUUUUAUUAACACAAAUGUGGUAAUGACAUGUGGGCCACGCAUGGUGUUGACUAGUAAAAUUGACUGGGUCAACCCACCCCGUGACCCCACUUGUAAUACACUCUCGCUAGAGUGGCGAAAGGUGACAGAAGUAUUCACUGUUUUUAUUUCAAAUUAGUAAAAUCCGUAA